rnacentral:rRNA from 1 species
AGCGAACGCUGGCGGCAGGCCUAACACAUGCAAGUCGAACGAACCCUUCGGGGUUAGUGGCGGAUGGGUGAGUAACACGUGGGAACGUGCCUUUAGGUUCGGAAUAACUCAGGGAAACUUGUGCUAAUACCGAAUGUGCCCUUCGGGGGAAAGAUUUAUCGCCUUUAGAGCGGCCCGCGUCUGAUUAGCUAGUUGGUGAGGUAAUGGCUCACCAAGGCUACGAUCAGUAGCUGGUCUGAGAGGAUGACCAGCCACAUUGGGACUGAGACACGGCCCAAACUCCUACGGGAGGCAGCAGUGGGGAAUCUUGCGCAAUGGGCGAAAGCCUGACGCAGCCAUGCCGCGUAGAUGAUGAAGGUCUUAGGAUUGUAAAAUCCUUUCACCGGUGAAGAUAAUGACUGUAGCCGGAGAAGAAGCCCCGGCUAACUUCGUGCCAGCCGCCGCCGUAAAAC